rnacentral:rRNA from 1 species
UACGUAGGGGGCAAGCGUUGUCCGGAAUCAUUGGGCGUAAAGAGCGUGUAGGCGGCUCGAUAAGUCCGCUGUGAAAGUCCAGGGCUCAACCCUGGAAGGCCGGUGGAAACUGUCGGGCUAGAGUCCGGAAGAGGCGAGUGGAAUUCCCGGUGUAGCGGUGAAAUGCGCAGAUAUCGGGAGGAACACCAAUGGCGAAGGCAGCUCGCUGGGGCGGUACUGACGCUGAGACGCGAAAGCGUGGGGAGCAAACAGG